rnacentral:rRNA from 1 species
UACGUAGGGGGCGAGCGUUGUCCGGAUUCAUUGGGCGUAAAGCGCGCGCAGGCGGUUUGCAGAGCCCGGCGUGAAAGCCCCCAGCUCAACUGGGGGAGGCCGUCGGAGACCUGUCGACUUGAGGCCGGUAGGGGAGAGCGGAAUUCCCGGUGUAGUGGUGGAAUGCGUAGAUAUCGGGAGGAACACCAGUGGCGAAGGCGACUACCUGGCCUGUUCUUGACGCUGAGGCGCGAAAGCUAGGGGAGCAAACGGG